GCUCGCUCGGCCGCCCAGCUCCCACCUGCGCCUCUCCGCGGCCCCUCUCCACCGGCCGCUGGGCCCGGAUCCCUUCGGCGCCCCUCUGCACCCACCCCCACGCGCCCUCCACUCGGCUCAGAUCUACCUCCGCGCCUCUCCGCGACCCCGGAACCCCGCGCCCUGUCCGGCCCAUUCCCAGCCGGAUAGACCGCGCUCCCCUCUGUCCGACCUUGGCAACUCCUGCGCGCCCCCUCCCCACCUCUAGUCGCCCCUCGGAGCCGCUUGGUUUCGGGAUCCACCCGCAUCCACCCCUCCAACAACCCUUUCGUAGCCCUCGCCCCUAGUCCAUAGCAGGCGCUGCCCUACCCAGUCCUUGCCGGACACACCGCGACCCCUUUCGUGCUCCCUUGACAACCCUGGCCCCACCUCCACCUGGCGCCCACUCGAAUCCGCCCCUCCCUUCUACCCCCCUGGACCGCCAGACCCCCCGCUUCUGCACCCACUCCCGCCUUCGCCCUUCCCUCCUUCCUCCUCCUCCUCUGCUGCCGAGCGCCCUCUCUUCCCACUCCCUCUCUGUGUAGAAUCACAGGGAGUGACCUUGAGCCGAGAGGGCCUACCUCAUUUUACAGGAGAGGAAAUCCAGCUUCCAUUGAGUGAGACUCUUUUAUAAAUAACGUAAAAGAGUGUGUGAAACUGUGGAGGCAGGCUGUUGUAGAUAGGCGGUCGGAAAAGCUUUGAAGAGAUGGCAUGUGUGCUGAGUGCUUAAUUAGAAUAUGGAAGAGAGAGACAUGGGCCCUUCCUAUGUCCAGUUUUAGGAAAAGGCCCUAAAACUGGAGGUUUGGCAUGUUUCAAGAAUGGAAACAGAGGACAAAAACGUUCGAGUGAGUAUCAUUUUGCCUGUAAAAUGGGCAUAGAGGAGUAGAAUGGAGGAGUUAAAAUAAUGUAGUACUUAGUGCAAUGCCAGCUACGGGGUCAAUGUUCAAUAAUGGUUGUCCAUUUAUCAUCAUUGCUUUGUCCCGGACACUAUGCUAAGGCAGAAAGAAGGCUCUCUGAAAAUAAAACACAGUUACCAUUCUCCUCAGAGGUCCAGAACUGAUUUCAAAGAAGAUAGAAAUGACUUCAGGGUGAGACAGUCAGUGAAUCGUAGCUGAGUGAAUGGAUGGGGGAUUUCAAUAGGUAGACAGCCUGGUACUUAGAAAAGGCAUUAGCCUUUAUACUUUCUGGUGUGGAAAAGAAAGAAAGAAAAUACAUACCUUGUACAUUUUUUUUUCUUUGAGACAGAGUUUUGCUCUUGUUGCCCAGGCUGGAGUGCAAUCGGCUCACGGCAACCUCUGCCUCCCGGGUUCAAGUGAUUCUCCUGCCUCAGCCUCCCGAGUAGCUGGGAUUACAGGCACACGCUACCGCACCCGGCUAAUUUUAUAUUUUUAGCAGAGACAGGGUUCCUUCAUGUUGCUUAGACUGGUCUGAAACUCCCGACGUCAGGUGAUCCACCCGCCUUGGCCUUCCAAAGUGCUGGGAUUACAGAUGUGAGCCACCGCGCCCGGCCUCGUUUUGUUUCUUUGAGACGGGGUCUUGUUUUGUUGCCCAGGCUGGAGUGCUGUGAUGCGAUCUCAGCUCACUGCAACCUCUACUUCCCAGGUUCAGGUGAUUCUUAUACCUCAGCUUCCCGAGUAGCUGGAAUUACAGGCACCCGCCACCACGCCCAGCUGAUUUUUAUAUUUUUCGUAGAGAUGGGAUUUCACCAUGUUGGCCAGGCUGAUCUCAAACUCCUGACCUCAAAUGAUCUGCCCGCCUUGACCUCUCCAAGUGCUGGGAUUACAGGCUUGAGCCACCCCACUGUGCCCAGCAGGGCUCAUACAUACUCAUUACUAAGCAAGAAAGAAUGAAAAGAAUGAAAAUAAAUGAAUUAAACAUUGAAUUCAUGUAAUUGGGAAAAGGACAUCAAAAUAACCCAUGGAAAGCAGAGGAAGGGAUGAAGUAAACAACAUAAAUGAAAGGAUGAGAAAACUUGAACAGAACUAACUAAAGAAUGAGCAAGUCUGGACAAGUACAACUUAUGCAAUACUAGAAAAUCUGAAGGUGUGGAGAAAGUACUUCUAAUCUCCAAAGCUGGGAACAUAGGAGGUUUCAGCUCCAAAAGAAACCAGAAAGAAAAUCCUGGGGAAAUUUGGUUUAGAAAAAAAAAAUGUUCAAACAAACAAAAAUAGCUGAGGAAUCAUCCUGUCAUUGCGGGGAUGAAAAGCUGAGUGUCGUGGUCAUAUUAACAGGCCCGCAAAACACCAAUCAACUUUGGCUUUGCAAAAGGUUGUUGAUUACAAAUGAGUAACUGCCAGUCUGUGAAAUCUCCUGGCAACUGUGCCUGGCAUAGUCUUUUCGCCAUUCACAGGCCUUUGUAUGGAUCUGUUCCUCACUGCCUACCUUGUUCCAACUGAAAAACACUGAGGUCAAAUUCAUUCAAAUUCUAAUUUAAUGACCAAGUGUUUAUACAGAUUAGUUUGAAGCAAAUAAAGCCCAGAUGAGUGCUUUGCACAUAGUAGGCACUCAGUAGGGUUUUGUUGAUUAAAUACUAAGAAUUACUGUUUUGUCACUUUUGUUUGUUUGUUUUUGAGACGGAGUCUCUCUGUCACCCAGGCUGGUGCAGUGGCGAGAUAUUGGCUCACUGCAACCUCUGCCUCCUGGAUUCAAGAGAUUCUCUUGCUUCAGCCUCCCAAGUAACUGGGACUACAGGCCUGCACCACCAUGCCCCGCUAAUUUUUGUAUUUUUAGUAGCGGUUUUGCCAUUUUGGCCAGGCUGGUCUUGAACUCCUGACCUCAAAUGAUCCUCCUGCUUUGGCCUGCCAAAGUUCUGGGAUUACAGGCAUGAGCCACCAUGCCCGGCCUUUGUCACAUUUGAAGACUGAAAUGUUUAAGUCUUCAAUGUACAACUCUACAAUGUACAACUGAGGGGGAAAUGAUAGGCAUGUGUCAUGGGUUGAAUUGUAUUCCCCCAGGAGAUAUAUUGAAGUCCUAAUCCCCAGUACCUCAGAAGAUGACCUUACUUACACAUAGGGUCUUUGCAGACAUAAGUAGUUAAGAUCAGGUCAUAGUGGAAGAUGGUCAGCUCUUAAUCCAAUAUGACCUGAAAACAUAGCAGGAGAAUGCCAUGUGACGAUGGAAGCAGAUAUUGGGCUUAUACAGCUACAAGCCGAGGAACACCAAAGAUUGCUAGGGACACUAGAAGCCAAGAGAAAGACACAAAGCUGAUUCUCCCCUAGGAUCCUUGGGAGAGAAUAACCCUGCCCUUACCUUGGCUAUGAAUUGUAGUCACUAGAACUGUGAGAGAAUAACUUUCUAUUGUUUCAAGCCCCCUAGUUUGUGGUAAUUUGUUACUGUAGCUCUAGGGAACUAAUACAGCUUGUUUCCAAGAAACAUGUAUAUGUGUUUGUAUGUUGCUUCACACUAUGUGUUACCUAGGUGAGAACAAAAGAAUAGGAGGGUUCAUGUUUGAGAAAUAAUUACUAGGAUUGUAGUGAUUGUAGUAAGACAAAGAGAAGGAAGGUACAUCAGUUAUCCACUACUAUAAAAAUCCACUCCAGGCCAGGUGUGGUGGCUCACACCUGUAAUCCCAGCACUUUGGGAGGCCAAGACGGGAGGAUCACUAGAGUCCAGGAGUUUGAGACCAGCCUAGGCAACAUAAUGACACCCCCUCCUCUACAAAAAAAAAAAAAAAAAAGAAGAAGAAGAAGAACAUUAGCCAGCGUGGUGGUGCACACCUGUAAUCCCAACUACUCAAGAAGCCGUGGCAGGAAAAUCACUUGAACCCGGGAAAUGGAGGUUGCAGUGAGCCGAGAUCGCACCAUUGCACUCCAGCCUGGGUGAUAGAGUGAGACUCUGUCUCGAAAAUAAAUAAAUAAAUAAAAUAUCUGGGGGAAGAAUGUUCUAGAGAGAAAAAGAACAAACGCAAAGCCCCUGAGGGAGGAGCGUGCUUGAGUUUCCAAAGAAGCCAUUCUGCCUGGAACAGAGAGAGCAAGAAAUGAAAGUUAUUCAACAAGAAAGCUCAGGGAGGUAGUGAGGGUCCAGACCUUACAGGGCCUAACAAACCACUGUGGCAAAUGGUAUUGUCUGAAGAUGGCCACGACGCCCACUCCCAGUCCAUGAGCUUAUCUUCGACACUUCUCCCAUCAAGAGGUGAGGUCCCUGUCCCCUCCACCUUUAACUGAAUAGGCUUCUGUGACUGUUUUGACCAAUUGAGCAUGGUGGAAGUGAUAUUAUGUGACUUCCAAGGCUAAGUCAUAAAAGACAAAGCAGCUUCUGAUUUGUUCACCAGGACACUCAUUUUGGAAGCCUAUAGCUGCCACAUGGGGAAUCUGACUGCCCUGAGGCCAACAGGCUGUAAGGAAGUCCAGAUUAGCCCACAUGGAGAAACCACUUAGGAACGUCCUGAGAUGACAUGGAGAGAGUAGUGCUUUAUUCCCUGGGUGUCCCAACUCUAGCCAUCUAACUGCACUUGCGUGAGACACCUCAAGCCAAAACUAUCCAGCUGAGCCCUUCCUAAGUUCCUGAACCACAGAAGCCAUGGGAGAAAAUAAAGUGAUCAUGGUGGUUUUAAGUAAUAAUGCAAGUGAGAGAGGAUGAUGACUUAAGCUUGCAUGGUAUAGGUGAUGAGAGCUAGUUGGAUUCUGAAUACAAAUAUUCAUUUCCUAGAAAUAAUCUCAAACUUAUAGAAAAGUUGCAAAUACAGUACAAAGAUUCUUUUUUUCUGAGCCAUUUGAGAUGCCCCAUCAUUCUUGAAUACUUUCAUGUAUGUUUCCUACAAUGACAUUUUUGCAUAACCACACUAUAACUUUUAAAAUAAGAAAAAAAUCACAUGACUAACAUUUAAUCAGACCUUAUUCAGUUUUCCCCAAAUGUUCCACUAAUGUUCUUUAUAACAGAAGUUAUGAAAUCAUACAGUAAAUUUUAGUUGUGUGAUUUUCAAGAUCACACAUUGCAUUCAGUUUCCAUGUCUUUAUUCUCUUUCAGUUCUCUUUCAAUCUGGAGUAAUUCCGUAGUCUUUCCUUGACUUUUAUGACUUUGACACUCUUUGUUCAUUGUUUUGUUUUCUUUUUUAACUUCCCAUACUAUGCCAGUGUAAUGACCUUGACACUCUUGAAGAUUAUGGGAAGGUUAUGUUGUAGAACACCCUCUCUUUGAGUUUAUCUGAUGUUCUCUCAUGAUUCUAUUCAGCUUAUUCAUCUUUGGUAGAUAAUAUUACAGAAGUAGUGCUGUGAUUUUGUUAUGUUCUAUCAGAUGGCAUAUGAUUUUAAUGUGUUGCAUUAUUGAUGAUGCUAACUUUGAUCACCCAGUUAAGGUGGUGUCUGCAGGAUCUCUCCACUAUGAAAUUACUCUUUUUCCAUUUGUAAUUAACAAGUAUUCUAGGCCCGGCACGGUGGCUCACGCCUAUAAUCCCAGCACUUUGGGAGGCUGAGGAGGGAGGAUUGCUUGAGCUCAGGAGUUUAAGACCAGCUGGGCAACAAUUCAAAAAAAAUUAGCUGGGCAUGGUGGCCCAGCCUAUAUUCUUAGCCUCUCAGGGAGUGGGUUGAGUGGGGUGCUGAGGUGGGAAGAUCACUUGAGCCCAGGAGGUGGAGGCUGCAGGGAGCUAUGAUCGUACCACUGCACUAGAGCCUGGGCAACGGUGUGAGACCCUGUCUUUAAAAAAAAAAAAAGUAUUCUGUAAGAGGGUAGUUGAAGUUCAGACUUUGUAAAUACCUUAUCUUUCAUCAAACUUUUAAUUUACUCACUAUCUUACAUUUAUUUAUAUGGUUUCUUAUUUUAUUAAAUUGGUUGUAAGCCAUUGUCAUUAUUAUUUAUUUUGAUGUUCAAAUCAUUUAAGAUUUGGCUAAUGGAAUCUCCUUCGUGUUAGCUAGCAUCUGUGUCCUUUUGGCAUGUCCCCAUUACUCUUUGUGCACUUCUUUACUUUCUGGCAUAAGAAGGUCCAGGUUCAUCUUGGACUUCCUAGACCCAGCAACACAUUGAAAUGGCUGAGAUCAACCAUUUCUCCAAGAAUCCCUGGUUUCCUUUAGUGGAAUAUGGAAUUUAGAAACUGAGGCCCGUGCAUUCAGUGUGCUCAUUACUAUUAAUGUGUUGCUGCUUUAAGGCCCUCUCAGAGGACAGGGCUAAGGAAUAUGUAAAUAUGUUUGUAUUCAUUUACACACACGUUUACAUCUACAUUUAUUUCUAUGUUUAUCUAUGUAUUACUGAAGCCAUGAGUUUACAUUGAUACCUUCAUUUCUGAUCUAAUAUUCUAGGAUUUAUUUUCAUUUUUUCCCUUCCAUCCUUCACUACAAUCCUAGUCUUGUCUUCUCCUCAUAUAUUGAAGCCACCAAUUUUUAUUUUAUUUUAUUUUAUUUUUUAGAGACAGAGUCUUACUCUGUCACCCAGGCUGGAGAGCAGUGGCAUGAUCAUACCUCACUGCAGCCUCAACCUCCUGGGCUCAAUUGAUCCUACUGCUUCAGCCUCCCAAGUAGCUGGAACUACAGGCACAUGCCAUCACUCCCCACUAAUUUUUAUUUAUUUAUUUAUUUUUAAUUUUUUUUAGUAGAGACAAGAUCUUGCUAUGUUGGCCAGGUUGGUCUCAAAUACCUGGGCUCCAGGGAUCCUCCCACCUCAGCCUCUAAAAUAUUGGGAUUACAGGUGUGAACCACUACAUUCAGUCUUCUUUUAUUCUUAUCUACCUAACACAGAGUAACACAUUGCUUCUGGAUUUUGAGUUAGUGUCUCUAACAGACUCUCAUGUCCUUCAUGUAUCCACAUUUAUGAUCAGUCACUCUGUGUAUACCCAACCUUCUAUCACCACUGCCUACCCUUUCUCCAUGCAGAUGUCCUCCUCACCCCACUUGGGUUACAGAAUUCCAUGCCGACAAUUCAUCAGCCCGAUAUAUGGACGCUGUUAUCUGGCUGGGGCUCUGACACUCUAUGCUGGACCAGACCACGCCCUCCAAAGACAUCCUUCUCACCACUUCUGGGCUCUGACAUCACAGGCCAGGCUGCUUAUGACUAUGAGCAUUCUACUCACUCUGUGCAGACUCCAAAACCCUGAGCCACACUGUACUGCCGUCUACAUGGAGAAAUCUUCCUCACUCCACUCAGACUCUGGCACUUGUGCUGGGCAGCUCUCCUCUGCAGAUGCCCUCUUCUUGCAUAUAGUUUAAAUGUAGACCCAACGUGAGUCCCUGGUGGAUUCGAUGGAUUAAAGUGAGGGAAAAAAAGAGAUUUCUCCUGAGCUACUGGGAGAAUAGAAUUGUCAUUAGCUGAGAUUGGGAAGACUAUAAGAGAAACAGGUUGGGUGAAAAUAUUAGAGUUGUUUUGGAAUAAGUUAACUUCGAGAUACCUGUUGGACAUCCAGGCAGAGAAAAUAAGGAAGGAGGCAGAUGUAUAAAUUUUGACCACAGGGUAGAGGUCCAGGCUGGAGACAUAAAUUUGAGAGUUGUCAAUAUGUUUAAAUUUUUGAGAUGGUACAAGCUCACUAGGGAGCAACUUUAGAUAGAGAGGAGAGGUCUGAAAUCUGAGUUCUGAGGUUGUCUAACAUUUUGAGGUUGGAAGAUAUGGAAGAAACAUUGAAAAAACCUGAAAGAGAGGGAGAGGCCAAUUAAGAAGAAAAUUGGGUGAGUAUGGUGUCGUGGAAGUCAAUUGAAGAAUGUGUUUCAAGAAGAAUAUGAUGAAAUGAGUCAAAUUCUGCUGAUAGGUAGGACUGAGAACUGAUUGAAAAUUAUUUCUAGGCUGGGCACAGUGGCUCACGCCUGUAACCCCAGUACUUUGGGAGGCCGAAGUGGGCAGAUCAGAAGGUCAGGAGUUUGAGACCAGCCUGGCCAGCAUGGUGAAACCCUGUCUCCACUAAAAAUACAAAAAAUUAGCCAGGCAUGGUGGCGCCUGCCUGUAGUCCCAGCUACUCAGGAGGCUGGGGCAGGAGAAUCGCUUGAACCUGGCAGGUGGAGGUUGCAGUGAGCUGAGAUCGUGCCACUCUACUCCAACCUGGGUGACAGAAUGAGACUGUCUCAAAAAAAAAAAAAAAAAAAGGAAAAAGAGAAAAAAGAAAAUUACUUCUAGUUGUCAAAAAAAACCCCUUAUGAAAUAAAUUACAUUUCAUUUACAAUUUAUAGAUUUAAAAAAUGAGGAUAAUUUUGCCCCAAAUUCCAUAACUAUUCAGCAGCUAAAUUAGUGAUUUCAAAUUGUACUGGAUGCAUAUAGGAAAUGCUUUCUCUGAGGAGAAACUUCUGGGAGUAGAAUUCAAAUUAUCCAGACAAGGAUAUUAGAGAAAAAAGAAAGAUAAGGUCUAGACAAAAGUCAAGGAACAGAACAGAGAAGGUGGAACUCAGAUACUACAAUGUCAUAUUGUUUAACACUUUGCAAAAGAAACAGAAGAGGGCGCCUUAGAGCUAAGACAAUUUUAUUAGGACGUUCACUUGGAAAGAUAAAUAAGAAUAUCUGAGAAAGCCCUAAGAAAGACGGACAAUGAGGAAGCCUGUACCAUAAGAAAAUAAUAUUGACACAUAUUUUAGUUUAUUCUAUGUCCUCCUCACCCCACUUGGGUUACAGAAUUCCAUACCGACCACUCAUCAGCCUGAUAUAUGGACACUCUUAUCUGGCUGGGGCUCUGAUACUCUAUGCUGGACCAGACCACCCCCUCCACAGACAUCCUUCUCACCACUUCUGGGCUCUGACAUCACAGGCCAGGCUGCUUAUCGCUAUGAGCAUUCUACUCACUCUGUGCAGACUCCAAAACCCUGAGCCACACUGUACUGCCGUCUACAUGGAGACAUCUUCCUCACUCCACUCAGACUGGCACUUGUGCCGGGCAGCUGUCCUCUGCGGAUGCCCUCUUCUUGCAUAUAUUUUAAAUGUAGACCCAACAUGAGUCCCUGGUGGAUUCUGUGCUGCUAUAACAAAAUAUUGAGACUGGAUAACUUAUAAUGAAAAAGAAACAUAUUGGCUCACAGUUCUGGUGGCUGAGAAGUCCAAGAUCAGGUGCUAGCAUCUGGUGGGAGAGAGAGAGAGAGGGAGAGAGAGACAAAGAGACCAUGCCUGAAAGCCCCUUUAUUAAGGCACUAAACCCACUCAGGAGGGUGGAGCCCCAUGGGCCAAAUACUUAACCAAAGAUCCCACCUCCCAACACUGUCUCAAUGGCAUAAAUUUCAACGUAAGUUUUGAUGGGGACAAAUGUUCAAACCCAUGGCAGCACAUGAAUAAAACAGAAUAGAAAAGCCAAAAAUUUUAAAAAAUAAGAAAACCCAAAAAUAAACUUAAUGACAUCUGGAAGUCUAAUAAGUGGUAAAUAUGCCAUCUCAAAUCAAUAGAGAAAAAGAAGACCUUCUUAAUAAAUAGUCCUGUCAUAAAUGGGUAGCCAGUGGAAGAAGAUACAAUCUGUCUUAGUCUGUUUUCCGUUGCUAUAACAGAAUACCUCAGACUGAGUAAUUUAUAAAGAAAAUAAGCUUACUUAGCUCGUGAUUCUGGGGGCUGGGAAGUCCAAGAGCAGGGUGCCAGCAUCUGGUAAGGGCCUUCCUACUACAUCAUAAUAUGACAGAGUGCAUCACAUGGCAAGAGAGCAAGAGCAUGUCAACCUCUCAGGUCUCUGGUCUUCUUAUAAAGCCACCAGUCCCAUUAUGGAGGCCCUACCCUGAUGACUUUAUCUAAUCCUAAUUAUCUCCCAAAGGCCCCACAUCCAAAUGCCACCAAUCUAUAAAUUUGGGAGUUACAUUUCCAACACAUGAAAUUAGGAGGACAUGUUCAAACAAGAGCACCAUCAUAUCUGUUUUUCCACUUAAGAUAAAUUCCAAUGGAUCAAAUAUCUAAUUUUUUGAAAGAAGUAAAGCUAUAUAAAUACUAGAAGAAAAUAUGAUGAAAAUUUUCUAUAAUCAAGAAAUUGGAAACACUUUUCUAACUCUAACUCAAAAUCCAGAUGCAAUACAGGAAAAGACCAAAAUUGGAGGUAUACAAAACAACAAUAACAUUUUUGCAUAGCAAAAGACAUCAUAAGCAAAAUUAAAAGAUAAAUGACAAACCGGGAAUAUGAUUUCCAAUUUAUGUCAUAGACAAUGGGUUAAUGUCCAGUAAUGUGUUCUUCCCGGGAGUGGGGGUCAGGAGGAUGUUAUCGCAUUUGCCAAUUUCCAUAGAGUAAAUACUCCACCAUAGCCAGUGUUAACUUGCCAAUGUAAUAUCAGCUGCACUAAUGCUACAUCAGCGGGACUGCAAAAUUCCUAAAAAUUUAACAGUCAGCACUUGCAAGCUGGCACUAGCCAGCUUUAGCACACUGCUGCAAAUAUUCCUAAUAUAUGAUGGGCUUCUAAAGAUGGAGAAGGGAAGGAAACCCAUCCUAUGGAAGAUAGGCAAGAGAUACAAACACUUUGCAGUUCACACACACACACAAAAUGAAAAUAAAGGACCUUUAAAUAUAUGAAAAUGUUGAAUCGUACUACCCGUAAAAUAAAUGCAAAUUUAAACUAAAAUGAGAUGCCAUUUUUCAACUAUCAGAUUGGGAGAAAAUCUCAAAGUUCAACAAUAUAAUGUGUUUACCAGGCGGUGAGGAAAGAGGCACUCAUAUUUUGCUGGUGGGAAUGCAAAAAAUGGUACCAUCCAUGAGGAGGGUGUCAGCCUUAAGAAUGAAACUGAGGUAAAAUUAGUAUAAAUCAAAAGUGUAUUUGGGCCAAAUUCGAGUACUUUAAUUUCGGAAAUGUAUGUUCAAGUUGCCCUGAAAUAUAUGCUCCAAUUAGCAGCAGUUACAAGUGGGUUUCCAAAGGAAAAAAUGGGGUGGUUCCUAAAUUGAACAUGAGCUAUUGGUUGGCUAUACAUUAUUCUUUAUAUCACUAAUCCCAAGAACAUGAAUAUAAUGGGUGAAGGCCACAUAGUGCAAUUUAUGAUAGCAUUUUAGGUAAUUUAUCAGCUAGUCUGGAAACUACAA
rnacentral:lncRNA from 1 species